GGGCGUAUGGUCUAGAGGUAUGAUACCUGCUUUGGGCACGCUUGCAUUGAACUCCAUUGUAGGGGGUCUUCGGUUCGAAUCCGGAUUCGCCCC